rnacentral:rRNA from 1 species
AGAGUUUGAUCAUGGCUCAGGAUGAACGCUAGCUACAGGCUUAACACAUGCAAGUCGAGGGGAAACGACAUCGAAAGCUUGCUUUUGAUGGGCGUCGACCGGCGCACGGGUGAGUAACGCGUAUCCAACCUGCCCAUCACUUGGGGAUAACCUUGCGAAAGUAAGACUAAUACCCAAUGACGUCUCUAGAAGACAUCUGAAAGAGAUUAAAGAUUUAUCGGUGAUGGAUGGGGAUGCGUCUGAUUAGCUUGUUGGCGGGGUAACGGCCACCAAGGCGACGAUCAGUAGGGGUUCUGAGAGGAAGGUCCCCCACAGUUGGAACUGAGACACGGUCAAACUCUACGGAGGCA